CGCGGCCUAUCAGCUUGUUGGUGAGGUAGUGGCUCACCAAGGCGACGACGGGUAGCCGGCCUGAGAGGGUGACCGGCCACACUGGGACUGAGACACGGCCCAGACUCCUACGGGAGGCAGCAGUGGGGAAUAUUGCACAAUGGGCGCAAGCCUGAUGCAGCAACGCCGCGUGGGGGACGACGGCCUUCGGGUUGUAAACCUCUUUUAGCAGGGAAGAAGCGAAAGUGACGGUACCUGCAGAAAAAGCACCGGCUAACUACGUGCCAGCAGCCGCGGUAAUACGUAGGGUGCAAGCGUUGUCCGGAAUUAUUGGGCGUAAAGAGCUCGUAGGCGGUUUGCCGCGUCUGCUGUGAAAAUCCGAGGCUCAACCUCGGACCUGCAGUGGGUACGGGCAAACUAGAGUGCGGUAGGGGAGAUUGGAAUUCCUGGUGUAGCGGUGGAAUGCGCAGAUAUCAGGAGGAACACCAAUGGCGAAGGCAGAUCUCUGGGCCGUAACUGACGCUGAGGAGCGAAAGCGUGGGGAGCGAACAGGAUUAGAUACCCUGGUAGUCCACGCCGUAAACGGUGGGAACUAGAUGUGGGGUCCGUUCCACGGAUUCCGUGUCGCAGCUAACGCAUUAAGUUCCCCGCCUGGGGAGUACGG
rnacentral:rRNA from 1 species